rnacentral:rRNA from 1 species
GGACUACCGGGGUUUCUAAUCCUGUUUGCUCCCCCGGCUUUCGUGACUCAGCGUCAAUAACGGUCCAGUUACCUGCUUUCGCCUUCGGUGUUCCUCCUGAUAUCUACGCAUUUCACCGCUACACCAGGAAUUCCAGUAACCUCUCCCGUAUUCAAGUCCGGCAGUAUCCAUUGGCCUCCCUGGGUUGAGCCCAAGGCUUUCACAACAGACUUACCGAACCGCCUGCUCACGCUUUACGCCUAGUAAUUCCGAGUAACGCUCGCCACCUUCGUCUUACCGCGGCGGCUGGCAC